GUAUUUAGAAUUAUUUCAUUCAAAAAUAGCUUCAGACAAAAAAAAUUGCAAUAAAAAAGUUGGUAUUAUGUGCAUGGCACGUCACUGAAGCGACGCGUAUAGCACAAACAUUUCACACAAGGUGAGUACUUGUUUAAAAAGUGCAGUAGAACACUUGUUAUGAAUGAUCCUUCUGCAGGUUCACCUAUGGAAA
rnacentral:misc_RNA from 1 species